GAGUCAUUCUCUUUGCUAAACUACAAUCAGAUUUCAGCAUUCAAUCUUUCUUCUUCUCAAAUAAUACCAAUCAUAUUUCCAUUCCAUAAUUCACUUCACAAUAUUCAAAAACUUUCAAUCCUCUUAUUCAAAGAAAAUAACAAACAAAAGAAAAGAGGUAGCACCAAGCUUACCCCGGCUCACAACUCUCACGGUCUGACCCUCGGCUUACAACUCUCACAGUCUGGCCCUCGGCUUACAACUCUCACAGUCUGGCCCUCGGCUCACAACUCUCACAGUCUGGCCCUCGGCUUAUAACUCUCACAGUCUGGCCCUCGGCUCACAACUCU
rnacentral:lncRNA from 1 species